rnacentral:rRNA from 1 species
CCCUUAGAUGGUCUGGGCGGCACGCGCGCUACAAUGAUGCAUUCAAAAAGUCUUCUGACCUUAGAAGGUUGGGUAUUCUCCAAAGUGCAUCGUGAUGGGAAUAGUUUAUUGCAAUUUUUAAUCUUGAACGAGGAAUUCCUAGUAAGUACAGGUCAUCAACUUGUGUUGAUUACGUCCCUGCCCUUUGUACACACCGCCCGUCGCUCCUACUGAUUGGGUGUCUCGGUGAAUUCUUUGAUCUUCUGUCGAUUCAGUUCACUGAUCCGACGGUGGAAAGUUGAAUGAACUUCGUCACUUAGAGGAAGGAGAAGUCGUAACA